rnacentral:rRNA from 1 species
CGCGGCCUAUCAGCUUGUUGGCGGGGUAAUGUCCCACUAAGGCAACGACGGGUAGCUGGUCUGAGAGGAUGAUCAGCCACAUUGGGACUGAGACACGGCCCAGACUCCUACGGGAGGCAGCAGUGGGGAAUAUUGCGCAAUGGGCGAAAGCCUGACGCAGCGACGCCGCGUGUGGGAUGAAGGCCUUCGGGUUGUAAACCACUGUCGGGGGGGACGAAAAAAAUGACGGUACCCCCAAAGGAAGCACCGGCUAACUCUGUGCCAGCAGCCGCGGUAAUACAGAGGGUGCGAGCGUUGUCCGGAAUUACUGGGCGUAAAGGGCGCGUAGGCGGCCUGAUAAGUAGGGGGUGAAAUUCCAUGGCUCAACCAUGGAUCGGCCUUCUAGACUGUCAGGCUUGAGCACGGUAGAGGCAGAUGGAAUUCCCGGUGUAGCGGUGGAAUGCGUAGAGAUCGGGAAGAACACCAGUGGCGAAGGCGGUCUGCUGGGCCGUUGCUGACGCUGAGGCGCGACAGCGUGGGGAGCAAACAGGAUUAGUUACCCUGGUAGUCCACGCCGUAAACGAUGGGCACUAGGCGUCGGGGGGAGCGACCCUCCCGGUGCCGUAGCUAACGCUCUAAGUGCCCCGCCUGGGGAGUACGG